UAUUAAGGAGCGCAUUUUUAAGGAACACUAGGUGUUGUAUGGUAGUGUUGAAUCACUAUAUUGUACACCUGAAACUAAUAUUACAUUGUAUGUUAAUCAGCUGGAAUUUAAA